rnacentral:ncRNA from 1 species
AGAGUCCGCUAAAAGACUCUGUAUCUGCGUGUUAAUAGCGUAUCCUAUGGCCUGGGAACGUGGUUAGUGAAUC